AUUAAACCCUAACCCUAGCUAGCCACUAUUUGCCCCUUUAUAAAACACCGUCCCCCGAUUCCUUCACCUAGUCUCCUUGCACACCUUUUCUGCAACGAUUCUCUUUAUCUAUCUAUCUCAUGCAUUUCAAUUAAGGUUUUUUUUCUUCUAUUUGUGUAAAAAAUUUGUGUUGUUGAAUCCUUUUCCUUUUUUUGCUAGGAUGAUAAAUGUUUUAAUCCCAGCUCAUUAUGAGACCUCUUUCAAGGUCUGGGAAUUGAAUUUAUCCAACAUUUAUCUGAGCUGUUUCUUUCUCUUUCUCUUGUGUUACCAUUGUUGGUUUAUUCUUUGUUGGUUUAUUCUUUGUUGAUUUAUUUCAGAUAUUUGGUUUGGUUUGAAUAGAUCUGGUGAUGGGUAAGGUCCAUAUUUCUGAAUUUCAGGAUCUGUACUAAUUUCAGAACUGUUUAUCGAUGAAAUACAUUUUGUCUUUUUGGUUACAUAUUAGCAUCUGGGUGUGUAAAGAUACAUGAUAAUAUUCACAAUUCUGUCUAUUGUGAUGGCAUUACUGAUCCUAGAGAUACUAUUUUUGGUUCUGUUUUGAAUCUUACAAAAGAAAAUUAAUUUAGCAGUACUGUUCUAGGACACAGCAAUUCUGUUCUUGAAGUUAAAUGUUCUCUUGUUUUCCUGAAUGUAUGAUACGCUAAUUUGUGGUUUAGGGUAGAUUAAGGAUCACGAAACUAAGAUUUUAAGUUUAGUAUGAUUUUGAACAAAAGGUUCCCAAUGAUGCUUCUUAGUGAACCAUGCUAAUGCUGAUCAUUACAUGACUGAAAUUAUUCUCUACUCGCUGAGGGAACCUAGUUUCAUCCUUCUUUUUGUUUAAUUGCAUUUUAUUUUAUGACUUUGAAGGCCUAACUGGCCAUAUUGAACUGGAGGUUUGUUUAUGAGUUUUUUCUUUUACCAAUCAGAGAAAUCACUUGCAAUGGUUAGGUCAUUUUAUGCUCUAACAUGCUAAAUUUGUACUAUUUUGUUUCUCUAAUUUCUGUUCUAUACUCAGUUUGUACUAUAAUGGUAAUAUGGUAUUUGUACAUGAUAGAACUACGCAAACUUUUCUUAGGAAUGAGUGGACUGGCAAGUGGACAUGGGCUAUGACAAUAUGCUUGGCAAUUUUUCUUGUUUAGAUGGAUCAAGAUACGGAUUGUAUAUGGGUUUUAGGAUUCAUGUAUAACAUGGGAUGGAGCUCCCUUUGUUGGUUAUUUUUCUUUUUUAAACUUGUUGAUAAACUUGGAAUAGAAAAAAUUAACAAAAAUGAUAAUUUGUGUUAACAACAAAUCAUCACCAGAUGGAGAGAUUUGUUCGAGUAUUAUUAUGGCUUUAACGAGAAGCAGAAAGGACAUGUGCAUGGUGGG
rnacentral:misc_RNA from 1 species